AACGAACGCUGGCGGCGUGCCUAACACAUGCAAGUCGAGCGCGAAAAGGGCAACCUGAGUAGAGCGGCGCACGGGUGCGUAACACGUGGGUAAUCUGCCUUAGAGUCGAGGAUAAUCUUCCGAAAGGUUGGCUAAUACUCGGUAAGCUUACGGUGUCUUCUGACGCUGUGGGAAAAGUAGGCCUCUGUUUACAAGCUUACGCUCUGAGAUGAGCCCGCGGCCCAUCAGCUAGUUGGCGGUGUAACGGACCACCAAGGCAACGACGGGUAGCUGGUCUGAGAGGACGAUCAGCCACACUGGAACUGAGACACGGUCCAGACUCCUACGGGAGGCAGCAGUGGGGAAUUUUCCACAAUGGGCGAAAACCUGAUGGAGCAACGCCGCGUGUGUGAUGAAGGUUUUCGGAUCGUAAAGCACUUUCGACUGGGACGAAAAACCUUUGGCUAACAUCCAGGGGCCUGACGGUACCAGGAGAAGAAGCACCGGCUAACUCUGUGCCAGCAGCCGCCGUAACAC
rnacentral:rRNA from 1 species